rnacentral:rRNA from 1 species
AUUGAACGCUGGCGGCAUGCCUUACACAUGCAAGUCGAACGGCAGCACGGGUGCUUGCGCCUGGUGGCGAGUGGCGAACGGGUGAGUAAUAUAUCGGAACGUACCUUAUUGUGGGGGAUAACGCAGCGAAAGCUGUGCUAAUACCGCAUAAUCCCUAAGGGGGAAAGCGGGGGACCGCAAGGCCUCGCGCAAUUAGAGCGGCCGAUACCUGAUUAGCUAGUUGGUGGAGUAAAGGCUCACCAAGGCAACGAUCAGUAGCUGGUCUGAGAGGACGAUCAGCCCCACUGGGACUGAGACACGGCCCAGACUCCUACGGGAGGCAGCAGUGGGGAAUUUUGGACAAUGGGGGCAACCCUGAUCCAGCAAUGCCGCGUGAGUGAAGAAGGCCUUCGGGUUGUAAAGCUCUUUUGUCAGGGAAGAAACAGCAGCUCUAACACAGUUUGCGAAUGACGGUACCUGAAGAAUAAGCACCGGCUAACUACGUGCCAGCCGCCGCGGUAA